UAACACGUAAACAACCUGCCUUCAGGAUGGGGACAACAGACGGAAACGACUGCUAAUACCGAAUAAGUUCCAAGGGCCGCAUGGCCCAUGGAAGAAAAGGUGGCCUCUACCUGUAAGCUAUCGCCUGAAGAGGGGUUUGCGUCUGAUUAGCUGGUUGGAGGGGUAACGGCCCACCAAGGCGACGAUCAGUAGCCGGUCUGAGAGGAUGAACGGCCACACUGGAACUGAGACACGGUCCAGACUCCUACGGGAGGCAGCAGUGGGGAAUCUUCCGCAAUGGGCGAAAGCCUGACGGAGCAACGCCGCGUGAGUGAUGACGGCCUUCGGGUUGUAAAACUCUGUGAUCCGGGACGAAAAGGCAGAGUGCGAAGAACAAACUGCAUUGACGGUACCGGAAAAGCAAGCCACGGCUAACUACGUGCCAGCAGCCGCGGUAAUACGUAGGUGGCAAGCGUUGUCCGGAAUUAUUGGGCGUAAAGCGCGCGCAGGCGGCUUCCCAAGUCCCUCUUAAAAGUGCGGGGCUUAACCCCGUGAUGGGAAGGAAACUGGGAAGCUGGAGUAUCGGAGAGGAAAGUGGAAUUCCUAGUGUAGCGGUGAAAUGCGUAGAGAUUAGGAAGAACACCGGUGGCGAAGGCGACUUUCUGGACGAAAACUGACGCUGAGGCGCGAAAGCGUGGGGAGCAAACAGGAUUAGAUACCCUGGUAGUCCACGCCGNAAACG
rnacentral:rRNA from 1 species